rnacentral:tRNA from 1 species
AUAAUGAAGUAAAAAUUACAUUUAGUUUCGACCUAAAAUUAGAGAUCUACAAUUCUCCUUAUCUA